UUGAACCAAUCUGUACAGUUUUCAGGGUGUUUUUUUCAGUUUGCAUUACAAUAGCUAAAUUAUCAUUAUUAUAAUUACUUUCCUUUUUAUCAUCAUCAUUGCAAUACUUUAUGAGGUCAUUAAUUUCAUCUGUUUCUGUCUAACUAUAUCUGUAAUCUAUUUCUCUCUUCUGCUGCAUGCUACUUCGUUUUAUCACACUGCCAGAGUCUCCCAAAGGACUCGAGUUAAAGUGCAUUCACUUGUUAGUUUGAUUUGUUAGUGUGCUCAUUAUGUACUCUUUAUUUCCCACUCUUUGUUUACCUCGUUCUCACUUUCCCCUCUUGUUCUUGCUGGCCCUUGUUCUCACUCUUGCCGUUCUUUCUUUUCUUUUUGUUGUUGUUUUUUUCCCCCCACUUGAGGUUGGAAGCAACCAAUUUACAUUUAGGAUUUUAUCGUCUAUGAAGAAGCAACGGAAGAAGGUAGAUAAAAGCUAAGGGGGGUACUGGAUGAAAAUAGAAAAGAAAAAAAAAUCUCAUUCAGAUCUUUCACAUUCUUCUAUAGAUAUUUAGAGGAAAGAAGAGAUUAAGAUGAUGAUGUGUGUGUGUGUGUGUGUGUGUGUCUGUCUGUCUGUAUGUGUUUGUUUUUUUUAUGGUUUUGGUAUAUAUAUUUUUUCAUUCUCUCUCUCUGACUCUCUCUGAUCAUCCUUCCAUCUCUUCCACAUCUCUGGCACUGUUUUCCUCUCAUUUAUUGAAAUUUUUUUGUUUCUUUAGCGUAAGCAGAGGACGGUGGCGUGUGUGUUUGCAAAACAAUAAUCAAAAUAGGAGAUAGGUGCCGUAGUUAGUCUUUUACCUUUAUUAAUGAAUAUUCUCUUCAGUGUCGACUGUUAAUAGAUUCAAGAGAAAAAGAAAGAAAAAAAGAAAAAAAAACUCUGUUUUAAGAGGUUUAUUAUUAAGUAAAUGUGUAAGUGUAUAUAGCAAGUUUUGAAAAAUAUUUUAUAAAUACAUGCACGUGCGUGUGUGUGUGUAACGUAUGCAUUUAAAAGGCAAAACCCCGUAGAAGUUGUGAGCCACCGGGAUUUUUGGCAGGAGCACCUAGGUAGUUGUGUGGGAGCCACCAGAUGUUCCCUAAUGCCAGGUAUUUUGUGAGAGCCACUAGCUAUUCCAUAGAGCUAAAUUUUCUUGGGGACAAUCUAGGUGUUUUGUAGGAGACACCAGUUGUUCCUCAGAGUCAUCUAUUAGUAUUCUAUGGGAACUACCAUUUGAUUGGUAGAGCCAGGUUAUGUGGGAGCCACAAGUUGGUCUGUAGGAGCCAAUAGGUUCUCUUGGAGCUAAAUGUUCCUUUGAGAGCCACCAGGUGCUGCAUAGAACCAAAUAUUCUAUUGGAGCCGCCAGGAGGUUGUUAGAGCCAGGAAUUUUGAGGAGCCACCAAGUGUUGCUUGAGACCAGCAGCAGUUGGUUCUGCCUCUGAGCAAAGGUGGCUCUGUGGGGAAUGGGAUCCUUUGUCUUCCUUUUCUUUUCUUUUAACAUGUAAAAUAAUGACUUGUUGAAUUGUCUUUCUUGUUCUUAAAGUUUUGAUUUUUGCUCCAUGUAUGUUUUUUAUAACAUCUCUUAUCUGUGCAUAUAUGGGAAAUGGAGAAGUGAGGCAGCAUUUGCCAUCUAGAAUGUCUACAUUUUUUACUAAUUUGUAAGGAAAUAUUGUUAAAAUGGAAUUUGUAUAUAUACAUAUAUACUUACAAGCUCUAACACACACACACACACACA